AACGAACGCUGGCGGCAGGCCUAACACAUGCAAGUCGAGCGAGGACUUCGGUUCUAGCGGCGGACGGGUGAGUAACGCGUGGGAAUGUGCCCUUCUCUACGGAAUAGCCCUGGGAAACUGGGAGUAAUACCGUAUACGCCCUUUUGGGGAAAGAUUUAUCGGAGAAGGAUCAGCCCGCGUUGGAUUAGGUAGUUGGUGGGGUAAUGGCCUACCAAGCCGACGAUCCAUAGCUGGUUUGAGAGGAUGAUCAGCCACACUGGGACUGAGACACGGCUCAGACUCCUACGGGAGGCAGCAGUGGGGAAUCUUAGACAAUGGGGGCAACCCUGAUCUAGCCAUGCCGCGUGAGUGAUGAAGGCCUUAGGGUUGUAAAGCUCUUUCAGCUGGGAAGAUAAUGACGGUACCAGCAGAAGAAGCCCUGGCUAACUCCGU
rnacentral:rRNA from 1 species